AAUUAGUCAAACUACUGAAUAAUCAAAUGACAUGAGCCUCAUUUUUAAGUUUGUCAAUCAAUUCAUCCACCGAAGAAACAAUAACCCCAGCUUUUCUCUUGGGAGGUUCCGUGACUUCAAUGACCUCUAAAUCAGAUUUAAUUUCCACAUUCAACUCCUGUGGUGUGUACUUUUUGAUGACCUUGGAUUUUGCCUUCAUGAUGUUUGGCAGUGUUGCAUACCUUGGUUGGUUCAGUCUCAAAUCAGUGGUGAUUACUGCAGGCAAGUCUAAACACAAAGUCUCAAGACCACCAUCCACUUCUCUUUCUACAGUUACUAGUUGUUUCUCCCUGUCAAGCAAAACCUUAGAAGCAAAUGUCCCCUGAGGCCAACCUAGCAACCCUGCCACCAUUUGCCCUGUUUGAUUGCAAUCAUCGUCAAUGGCCUGUUUCCCCAUAAUAAUCAGCCGGGGUUUCUCCACUUCCACAAGCGCUUUCAAAACCUUAGCCACAGUAAGCGGAUACAAAGCUCCUGUAGCUUCCACGUGAAUCCCUCUAUCAGCGCCCAUGGCUAGACCGGUUCGCAGCGUAUCAACACACUGCGCCGAACCCAUACUCACAGCGACAACCUCGGAUGCCAAUCCCGCCUCCUUGAUCCGGAGAGCCUCUUCCAAAGCAAUCUCACAAAAUGGGUUCAUUGACAUCUUAACAUUCUGCGUCUCUACUCCGCUCUUGUCGGGUUUUACUCUGAUCUUCACAGCAUAAUCGACGACUCGCUUCA
rnacentral:misc_RNA from 1 species